GCCUAAAGCCCCUUUCUCAGCUUGCCACAAUAAACCAGAGCAAGGUUUAGUCUUUACUGGGUCACCGGCCAUCCUCUAUUAUUCAACACUUCACAACAAAAAACACUUAUUAAUCAGCGCUGACCAGAGGCCCCUUUUGAAACAAGAGAAGAGGGGAGAGAGGGGGGAGAGAGAGAGGUGAAAAGAAGAUUGAGAAGCCCCGGACAGAGCUUUCUAAAGCCAGAGCAACCAUAGGGUACCUUCCUCCAGUGGCCAAAGUUUAUUUGACACAACAAAGUUUCUAAUCAGGCCACGGAGACCUGGAUUUCUCCUCAUUUGCCUUACUCCCCUUCUCUUCCUCUGAAGAUGUUGGAGACUUUGUUGCGAGGAAGGAUGGCUUUAGGUCAAAUUGCUAAGGCCUGAUCUUAAAGAUCUAAUUGCUAUUGGAAGAGAAGCCUGUUUCCCAGCUGGGCCUCCACUCUGGAGAUGGCGCAAGGAAGACUGUCCAGCUCUGCCCUGGGCACCCCGCUGAUGGAUGAGGUGUCAGGCCAGUAGUCAUGUGAGGACUGGUUUCCAAAUGAUUUGUUGUCAGUGUCACAAUCUGAUAGAAAACUUCUGAUGGCUUUGGAGAUAACAAGAAACAGAGACAUGGUACCUGUGAACUCUUUGAGUUCUCUGUCUUCCAUGCCAUUUCUGAUGGCCAUGGCCAAGAUAAUCUUCAAGGAAAAUUCUGGAUGUGGUGCUGGCAAGAGAGACAAAUGUCCACAUUUAAAAAUUUGUAAACAGGACGUCCAUCAAGAGAGUAAUUUUAAAGAGAAGAAUGGCCAUACCAAUGGAAUAAAUACAGACUCUUGAGGUGAUGCCUCUGAAGAAAAGACUGAUUUGAAAAUGUAAGUUUGGGUUAGAUUGAUCUCAUUGCUUUACAUCAAACCUCCUAUGUUUUGUAUCACUUUGAUAUCCCAAGUCAGGAAAUAAUUAUGUGAUGCAUGAAUGGGAUCUGCCAGUGGAAUUGCUUGUAGCAUCUUAGAAGGAAGUAACUUCUUCUAAAGGAAGAGUAUUUAGUGAGUAUCUUAAAAGGACUGGAUAUAUUUACUAGAUUAAGAUAUGAAUUUUUAAUUCACACAUAUGUUCCCUUAGAAAGAUAAAGAUUGUAUUCUCAAGGAAUUAGCCUCAUGUGAAAACACUAGCAUUUCAAGGAGUUAUACCACAUAUCAUAUGUGAGAUAUGGGGGAAAAGUGGGAAGUGGAAAC
rnacentral:lncRNA from 1 species